AUGGCUGCGUCAGCUCGUGUCGUGAGAUGUUGGGUUAAGUCCCGUAACGAGCGCAACCUUGUCCUUAGUUACCAGCACGUUAUGGUGGGCACUCUAAGGAGACUGCCGGUGACAAACCGGGAGGAAGGUGGGGGAUGACGUCAAGUCAUCAUGGCCCUUACGGCCUGGGCUACACACGUGCUACAAUGGUCGGUACAAAGGGUUGCCAAGCCGCGAGGUGGAGCUAAUCCCAUAAAACCGAUCGUAGUCCGGAUCGCAGUCUGCAACUCGACUGCGUGAAGUCGGAAUCGCUAGUAAUCGUGAAUCAGAAUGUCACGGUGAAUACGUUCCCGGGCCUU
rnacentral:rRNA from 1 species